rnacentral:rRNA from 1 species
GAUGAACGCUAGCUACAGGCUUAACACAUGCAAGUCGAGGGGCAGCAUGAACAUAGCUUGCUAUGUUUGAUGGCGACCGGCGCACGGGUGCGUAACACGUAUCCAAUCUGCCCGUUACUCGGGGAUAGCCUUCUGAAAGGAAGAUUAAUACCCGAUGGCAUGUAUUUCCGGCAUCGGAGAUACAUUAAAGAUUUAUCGGUAACGGAUGAGGAUGCGUACGAUUAGCUGGUUGGCGGGGUAACGGCCCACCAAGGCGACGAUCAGUAGCCGGCCUGAGAGGGUGAACGGCCACAUUGGGACUGAGACACGGCCCAAACUCCUACGGGAGGCAGCAGUGGGGAAUAUUGCACAAUGGGGGAAACCCUGAUGCAGCAAUGCCGCGUGAGUGAAGAAGUAUUUCCGGUAUGUAAAGCUCUAUCAGCAGGGAGUAAAAUGACGGUACCUGACUAAGAAGCUCCGGCUAAAUACGUGCCAGCAG